UGCGUAGGCGGUCCGGAAAGUUGGGUGUGAAAGCCCUCGGCUCAACCGAGGAAUUGCGCCCAAAACUGCCGGACUUGAGGGAGACAUAGGUGAGCGGAACUUAGGGUGGAGCGGUGAAAUGCGUUGAGAUCCUAAGGAACACCAGUAGCGAAAGCGGCUCACUGGGUCUCUUCUGACGCUGAGUGCACGAAAGCUAGGGGAGCGAAGA
rnacentral:rRNA from 1 species